UGAAUCUUUAGCUGACAGCAGGAGCUGACUCUGUAGAAAGAGGUCACAGGUUAACACAAGGAUAAGCAGCAGAGCCCGCCCCCAAGCGGGGGCGGAACUGACUGUAACAGGAGGAACCAAACAAGGACUUGAAGCUAACUGGGAUGUUCUGACAUUCUGAACUCGGAGGUGGGGAGAACGGAAUGAUUGACAGCUUCAUCACAGAACUGCCAGCAGAGAUGACGCAAGCCACUCAGAGGCUGGGUCCUGCUGAACCGAGAAAGCUCAAACCAGGAUAGCCCACAAACGAUGUGCUCAGAUGAGAACCCAGGGUUGUCCGGAGUCCCUCUGAAACAGCGACUUGAGGGUCACUUUAAGCAAUGUCCGCCACCCUGCCCUGGAGCAUUUAGGGGUGGCCUCUCUUUCUGCCUUCCCUUCCAACCCCAGCAGGGAGUAUGGGUGGUAGGAUGGUUCAUCCAUGGCUAAUGAAGCAGCCUUUGACUCAAGAACCAAUCUUGAUAGAAGAGCCUGCUGGCUGCAUAAAAGCUGGUAGUCCCUGGCCUCUGUGUAGGUAGCACUAUGAGUGCCCAUCUCCAGUCCUUGCAUCCUGACUGACUGCUUCCUCCCAGACACUGUUGGUCUCAUCUUAUAGGUGCAGGAAUAAGGUUCAGAGGGUAUAAGACCUUUCCAAGAUCACCCCAUGGAAAAGCCACAACACUGGGCUGCUGGUUGGCUUCCUUGUCUGAGAGACUGCAAGCCUGCACUCCCCAACCCCUCCCACCCC
rnacentral:lncRNA from 1 species